AUUCCAGCUCCAAUAGCGUAUAUUUUAGUUGUUGCAGUUAAAAAGCUCGUAGUUGAAUUUCUGGUGGGAAGAUGCGGACGGCCUCAUGGCUUGUUCCAAGUCUUCCGGCCAUCCUUGGGUGGAGCUCGUCUGGCAUUAAGUUGUCGGGCGGGGGAUGCCCAUCGUUUACUGUGAAAAAAUUGAAGUGUUCAAAGCAGACUUAUGUCGUUGAAUAUAUUAGCAUGGAAUAAUAAGAUAGGACAGCAGUGCUAUUUUGUUGGUUUGCGCACCGUUGUAAUGAUGAAUAGGGACAGUUGUGGGUAUUUAUAUUCACUUGUAAGAGGUGAAAUUCUUAGAUUAAGGGAAGAUAAACUACUGCGAAAGCAUUUACCAAGGAUGUUUUCAUCG
rnacentral:rRNA from 1 species